UACACAGCGCUAACUGCUGUCUGGCCAUCUCUCUGAUUCCCAAAACCAAGGGUUACAAAGACUUUUACUCACAGGUCCUGCAUGUUUGGAAUAAGCCUGAUUCUAAGCUCCAUGUGCAGCAUGUUGCCCAAGACCAGCUGGGUUUGGACCAGAUGAGCAUGUACUCCAGAUUGCUGAAGCUGCAUAAGGCACAUGGUUCAUCAGCAGCAAAUAGCAGAGCAACCCUGA